GCUUUCUCCCAGGUGGGACUGGGGGUAAAGCGAGCGUCGAACUGGUAGCCGCCGGUUCGGCGCUCAUUUUUUCGUUU
rnacentral:antisense_RNA from 1 species